rnacentral:tmRNA from 1 species
GGGGGCGACCUGGUUUCGACGUGGGUAGCAAAACCCCAGGUGCAUGCCGAGGCGCAGAUCACCUCGUAAAUCCAGCUGCAAACAACGAUAGUUGCCAACGACGACAACUACGCUCUAGCUGCUUAAUCCCAGCUAGCCUCUGACCGGAUCGUGCUUGUGCGUCCGGAUUCCAGAGGGCAAAACACACAAGAUCGUGAAGGACUUCGUCCCGCAGGACUUCACUAAAACUCAGGGACUCGCCGCUUCGCCACCCUGCCCGUCGGGAGGUGAUGGGGCUAAAAACAAAGACGUGGCUAAGCAUGUAGAGCCGAAGGCGGAGUGCUUGCGGACGCGGGUUCGAUUCCCGCCGCCUCCACCA